UACAGAGGUCUCAAGCGUUGUUCGGAUUCAUUGGGAGUAAAGGGUGCGUAGGCGGCGCGGUAAGUCGGGUGUGAAAUCUCGGAGCUUAACUCCGAAACUGCAUUCGAUACUGCCGUGCUUGAGGACUGGAGAGGAGACUGGAAUUUACGGUGUAGCGGUGAAAUGCGUAGAUAUCUGGAGGAAUACCGGUGGCGAAGGCGGCAUCCUGGACCGGCAUUGACGCUGAUGAGCGAAAGCUAGGGGAGCAAACGGG
rnacentral:rRNA from 1 species